CAAUGCUGACGAGUCCCAAACAGGACGAAACAACCGUCCAGUGC
rnacentral:hammerhead_ribozyme from 1 species